CCUACGGGAGGCAGCAGUGGGGAAUUUUGGACAAUGGGCGCAAGCCUGAUCCAGCCAUGCCGCGUGCGGGAAGAAGGCCUUCGGGUUGUAAACCGCUUUUGUCAGGGAAGAAACGCUCUGGGCUAAUACCCCGGGGUAAUGACGGUACCUGAAGAAUAAGCACCGGCUAACUACGUGCCAGCAGCCGCGGUAAUACGUAGGGUGCAAGCGUUAAUCGGAAUUACUGGGCGUAAAGCGUGCGCAGGCGGUCUUGCAAGACAGAUGUGAAAUCCCCGGGCUCAACCUGGGAACUGCAUUUGUGACUGCAAGGCUAGAGUACGGUAGAGGGGGAUGGAAUUCCGCGUGUAGCAGUGAAAUGCGUAGAUAUGCGGAGGAACACCGAUGGCGAAGGCAAUCCCCUGGACCUGUACUGACGCUCAUGCACGAAGCGUGGGGAGCAAACAGGAUUAGAUACCCUGGUAGUCCACGCCCUAAACGAUGUCACUGGUUGUUGGGUAACGUUCCUUCUCAGUACGUAGCUACGNGUGAGUGACCGCGUGGGGAGGACGGCGCGUAAGGUAGUAAGUUAAAGUUAAGUAGUUAGGCGUGNGNGNGCGACGGACGACGACGAGGGAGGAGG
rnacentral:rRNA from 1 species